rnacentral:lncRNA from 1 species
CUCGUUCCCCACCACCACGACCACCACUAGCAUCACCAUCUUCUCGGCUUCUGACAAUAUUAUCAAUUAAAUGGCGUUGGCAGGUGUGAAAAGAUCUUUUCGGAAGAAGAAGACAGGAAAGCCCGGAGCGCCGAAGAAGGGCAAACACUCCGCCACCUGCAGCUUCAACGUCGUUCAGCCCCCGGCUAUUAUCUCCCAUGCUACUUGUUGGAAAUAUGGUUUUAUGCCAUAUCUGAAAAUUAUUAUUUAAUUAAAUAUUUAUUAUUUAAUUAAAAUAAUUAUUGGAUGUUAAUCUACACCUCGAGUAGAUCAACGUGAUAUACUUGAAGUCUCAAAACCGAUUUCCGGUGAGUGAGAUAUUGCAUGUCAAAGUUUGGAAGUUGAAGAGGGAAAAUCAGUUUCAACUUCUGCGUUCAACGAUUGCGGCCACCUACCGCAGCCGCCGGAGUUGACUGCCGUCCGUUCACACCGGCAGUUCACACCUUACGUUCACACCUUCCGUUCACACCUUCCGUUCACACUAGGUUUAACACCUAUAAAUAUGGGUGUGUUGUGAGCUUCAGAAUUAACGAAUUCACUCACAACUCAUAACUCACAACAUAUUCUGCAUUCCACCUCAACCUCUAGCUCAGUUCUUGAUCCUAUUCAGUUCGCCGGAGCUCGCCGGAUUGUGGUGCUACAUCCGACGAGACGAAGUCGUUUUACCUUUGGGGAAGAUACGCCUAAACCGAAGAGCACUACCGGGGCGAUAAUCUUCUUGCGGGAAGAGAUUCAUCUCGACUCGACUUAGUUUAUACGUAUAAUUUAUUUAUACAGUAUAUUUCAGUUGUAUACAUUUAUUUGAGUUGUAAUUUCUCAAAUUAUUUUCCUUGUAAUAUUUUCAAUUAUUUUGAGUUGUAAUAUCUCAAAAUAUUUAUUUUGUAAUAUCUCGAUCGUGUACCCGGUUCUAACAAUCGCAAGAAGAUUAUUUCUCUGCCGUUGAUACACGUUCGAGAAAUGGCUCACACCGACGUCAAUAUGGACGGCGCCACCACCUCUGCAACCAUCGGUUCAACCACGUCGUCAAUGUUUUCCUCGUUUGCAUCAAUGGGCGCUUCAACGUCAACCAUGGCCCCAUUGCAAACAUCCAGAACUAUUGGUCUUGCCGAGAAACCAUCAACGUUCUCGGGCAAGAAUUUUAAAUAUUGGCAAGAAAAGAUGCUAUUCUACCUCACAACCGUGGGGUUUGCCGGAUUCUUGAUGGAGGAUAAACCUCCAACCCCGAGUGAAGGGGAGACGAGCCAAGAAAUUCGUGCCGGAUAUUUGAACUGGUGCCGCGGCGACUACUUGUGCCGUAACACCGUUCUCAUGUCUCUGGACGAACGGCUCUACCGUGUUUUCAAGGUUCAUGAAACCGCGAAACAAUUGUGGGAGGCCCUUGAUUUGAAAUAUCAAGUGGACAAGGCAAAUACUACCAAGUAUAUUGUCGCCAAAUGGUUGGAAUACAAAAUGGUCGACUCCCGGCCAUUGAUGGACCAAAGUGGAAGAAUUCCAAAAUACUUUCACAUGAGGUUCAAGCCGAAGGGAUGCCCUUGGCGGAUGCAUUGCUCGUUGCAAUCAUCAUAGAGAAAUUACCUCCUAGUUGGAGAAAAUUUCAAAACCUUUUGAAGCAUGAGCGCUCGGAGAUGUCCGUGCCGAUAUUAAUAUCCAAGCUUCAAAUGGAGGAUCACGUGAGAAGUCGUGAUCAAAAGGGAAAAGCUCCAAUGGAGGCAAAGGCCAAUCUCACCGAGAAAGGCGGUUCCUCCAACAAACGUGGUCGCCCUAACCCUAAUAAUAAGGGUAAAGGGAAGCAAGGCGGNAUUAUUCCGUGCUUGUGAUGUAUCAUUUAAAUUUGAAAGAUUGAGCACCCGCAACGCGGGUACUCGAGUGAGUACUCGAGGAGAGGAGGGCGUCGAGGAGCGCGAUGCGGCGGGAGCUCCUCGAGGAGUACCCGAGUUAUCGGGUAGCCUCGAGAAGGCGCGUGCUCUGCACGCGCCAGAAAAAAAAAAAAAAUUUAUUUUCAACGGCUUUUUCGACCGUUUUUCAAUUUUUUUUUCCUUCCCCAACGACUCUUUCGUCCGUUUGCAUCCAUUUUUCUUUUCUUUUUUUUUUCUUCUUUUCUCUCUAUAAAUAAUACUUCUCCCUACAACUCAUUCACCUACAAUUCAUUCAUCACAACUCACUUUCAUUCAUCACAACUCAUUCCUUCUUCCUCCUACAAUUUUUCUUGCAAAAUAUCAUAUUCGUUCUUCCAAAAAUGUCGUCACCUGAACAUGAUUCUUCGCCCGAUUCCGACGAAGUCGCUGAAAAGUUCAUGGAGUUGGUUGAGUUGCAGAAACAAGUGCUUCAAUCAUACUGCCCCCAACCGGCGCCAGAGCCGGCGCGUGCCAAACGUCCCCGAUCAUACGUCCACCGUGAUCGUGAAGAGGCCCAUGUACGUCUUAUGCAAGACUACUUCGUCGACAAUCCAACGUACGGCCCUACUUUUUUCCGGCGUCGAUUUCGCAUGCAGAAGGAGCUGUUCUUGCGCAUCGUCGAGGCUGUUCAAGGUGAAGAUAUUUACUUUCAUAUGAGCACUGAUGCACUCGGUCGAGAUUCUCUUUCUCCUUUGCAGAAAUGCACGUCGGCUAUCCGCCAAUUAGCCACCGGGGUUAGUGCGGAUGUGUUCGAUGAGUAUCUCAAAGUGGCGGACUCAACCGGUCGUGUAUGCCUAAAGAAGUUCUGCAAGGCGGUCAUACGGGCUUUUGGAGCCCAUUACUUGCGCCGUCCAACGGCAACUGACGUGCAACGCCUUCUUCAUAUGCACGAGGCGAGACAUGGUUUUCCCGGGAUGCUCGGGAGCUUAGACUGCAUGCAUUAGGCGUGGAAGAACUGCCCAAAGGCGUGGCACGGCGCAUACACACGCGGGGAUCAGGGAGAGCCCACCUUGAUAUUGGAGGUCGUUGCCUCUUUCGAUUUGUGGAUUUGGCACGCCUUCUUCGGCGUCGCUGGUUCGAACAACGACAUCAAUGUCCUGAAUCAGUCUCCUCUCUUCUCCGACGUGUUAGGAGGAACUGCGGCGCCGGUGGUCUUUCAUGCCAACCAGCGCGAAUACCGGAUGGGCUACUAUUUGUGUGACGACAUAUAUCCGGAGUGGCGUUGCUUCGUGAAGAGUCCAUCAAUGGCAACCAAUCCGAAGGAGGCAAGGUUCAAGAAGAUGCAAGAAUCGGCACGGAAGGAUGUGGAACGCGCCUUUGGAGUCCUCCAAGCUCGGUGGGGAAUCAUUCGAAGUCCGGCGCGCAAUUGGUACGUAGAGCACCUGAAGGACAUCAUGUUGUGUUGCAUCAUUCUCCACAACAUGAUUGUGGAGCACGAAGGUGAAGCGGCUGCCAACUGGAGAGAUGAUGACGGGGCGUCUAGUAGUGGUUCGACGGAGAGUGCUGGACAAACACCGGUGUCCUUCGAGGAAUAUGUGCGAAGGGAUAGCCUUCUCCGAGAUAGAUAACUACAUGCUCAGCUCCGAUAUGAUUUGAUGGAGCACCUUUGGGCACGUUUCGGACCUCUAGAGCCAGAGUAGUUUAAUUUUUAGGAAUUGUUUUUAUUUUAUUUAAGUUUUAUGUAAUAUUUAGGAUUUUAUAAUUAAUGCAAUUUAAAUUUGAAAUAAAUUAUGUUAUUUAAAUUUGAGCAAUUAAAUUUAAAUGAAAAACAUAAAAUCAAAACUAAUGUUAUCAAGUAGGCUAUCAAGGAACCCCAAUGCAGCACUACCUACUCAAUAACACAACCACUAUCAAGUAGGCUAUCAAGGAACCUCAUUGCGGAUGCUCUUAAUGUCCAAAUACAAUGCAACAAUGGCAGAAUCCUAUCUUAAGUAUAACUUUCCACAAAUAACUGACGAUGAUAAUUCCAAUAAACAGACAAAAACUGUGUUACAAACAGUCACCAUCCACUUUUGCCACCCACCACACUCACCAAGAUCAUCACUAUUUUCGUUUUUAUCACUUUCAUUCUUAAAAUAUCGGCUACUUUUGGACCAAGACUUGGCCGGCUGACCCGCCUGAAUUGGGCGGUCGCCGCCACCUAGAAUUUCUUCCACGGCCACUCCACCUCUGAUAAAUAAGCUGAUCAAUCGAUUUAUUCUAGUAGUUAAAUGAUACUACUAUAUGUAGUGAAUACAAUUCAUUUUAUUUAAUUAUCUUGUGCAAUUAGAUCAUAUACAUGAACAUAUAUAUAGAGAGGAUCAAUGAUAAGUAUUUUGAGAAUAAAGAAUUACUCCAAGCCUUUAAAUUAAUAGAAGCCCACGAUUUAUAUUCAUCCGUUUAAUUUGUGAUCGUUUUUUAUAAUAGGAUUAUUUAAGUAAUUAACCGUCUUUGAUUGAUUUAUGGUUGACCGAACCCCUUUUUUUUUGCUGGAGUUAUUUGUGUAAUUUAAGGUUGAUUAAUUUUGGAAUAUAUGGAGCAUGUAUCUCUAUAUUUUAGUUAUUAUUCAUUUAUCUCUCUCGGCUCAUAUAAUCUAUUAUCUCUCUCCCUCUCUACUUGACAUCCAUAUUUAAGGAAUUUAUUAUAAUUAAUUAUGAAAUGGUUUAUUUAUUUAUUCACAUCUAUUUUCGGUGUUACAAUUAAUAGAUCAGUUAUUUAUGCCUCUUUAUUUUGUAAAUGGGUCAUGAAUUCGAUUUAACAAAAAAUUUACACUUUUAUAUAUUUUCGAUUUUUAUCUGUAUAAUAUUUUUAUUUAGAUGUUCGUUCUUUUGUUACAUUUGUUUGAAAAUUUUUAUGUUAAAUAUUUUAUGUCAGCAAAAAAAAAUUCGAAUAUUUUAUUUAGAUGUUCGUAAUUUUUUUUGCACUCGUUCGAAAAGUUUUAUGUUAAAUAUUUUAUGUCAGCAAAAAAAAAUUCAAAUAUUUCAUGUAGAUGUUCGUAAUUUUAUUACGUUUAUUACAAAAAAAAAUUAUGUUAAAUAUUUUAUUUCAAUAAGUAAAAAUCAUUUGUAGGUAAAGUUCAAUAUUUUCACCCUUUUCGGUCCAGUCAACAAGUCAAUUGUAGGUUCAGUUCAAUUGAACAGUGAAAUUAUCAUUUCUGCAGAGAUUAUACCAAUUACUUUAGUGAACACAAAUAACUAGCAAAUUAAUAAAUUGAGCACUCAUAAAUUAAGCGUUCAACUGUCAAAUUUAUUCAUAAUUAUACGCAUAAUCAUAGAUAACAAGCAAAGGACCCAUACAACUAGAUUCAAGGUUAGAUAAUAUUUGCUAAUUAAACAUACAAAUUAACAUAACUUCAAUCUAAUAUGAUGGGGUUGUCUUCGUGGGAGCAGACGACGGUGAUAUCACGGCGGAAUCUAGAUUCUUUAGUUGGAUCCCGGUUCUUCCUUCACACUGGAAUAUCGAAUAUUCUUCACACCAGAAGAACUUUCGCCGAAAACUCAGUAUUUCCUCUCUUUCGAAUGCCCUUUGCCAGUAUCUCCCCCGAUGGGGCGUGUCUCUCUGGAUUCACAUUUUGUAUACCGCAUACUUUAAAAUCAGUCGUUGCUUGUUGACAUCCUCCAACCCAAAGACAAGUCUAUCCCUGACCUUCAAAUUGAACUUCUUAUAUUCCACAAAUCCUUUAUCAAAAAAUAUUUCUUGGCACGUGAUGCCUUGUAUGUAGUCUUGAUCUCAGUCCGACGAAUCUGACCAACCAAUAAGUGUUCAUUAAGUUUGAUUAUUAAACUUAUAAUUAUAAUGAUUUCAUUAUUAUCAUAAUAUAAUUAUAAGUUCUAUAAAGACGACAUGUUCACAUUUACGAAUCAAAAAUGACUUUUGACUUCUAUACGUGUAACAUGAUUAUUCCUAUAUUAGACUAAAAAGAAGAUUUCAAACUCUAUCAUGUUGUAGCUUUUGAUGGACUAUCAUACAAAUAACUUUCAAGAUUAUUACUUGUACAUUAGUCUAAAUAGAACAUACCAAACUAAAUCAUCAUUAUUACAAAUUUUAUAAUUGUGUGAAAUGAAGGCUUCGUGUGCUUUUUAAUGCAUACUUCAUAAAUAUAAAAUAUGGAGUAUUUUUUAUUCUUUUUUUUAUAUAUAAAUUAACAGUAUUAAAUAAAGAAAUUUAAAGGUUGUGCCACAAAGGACUCAAACCCAAGACCUUUAGCCUUAGGCAUUAACCUCUUAUCGCUUGGCUAACACACGCACACAAGUAUUUUUUAUUCUUAUUAUCACCAUAUAUUCUACUCAGUUAUAACUACAUAUUUGUGCUAAAUCAUACUCCCUUCGUCCGUCAAGAUUAUGCACUUUAGUUGGACACGGGAUUUAAAGGGGUGUAUUGGUUUGGGUAUUCAGUUGGAUUUUUUUUGGAUUUUAAAAAGUUUGGGGGUGUUCAAUCCAAACUUUUAAGUCUUUACAAAUCUAAAUUAAGUUAUUCAAUAUGAUUUUAAAAAGUCUUAAAAAAGUCCUUAGAUAUUAAAAAUCUGUGGAUUUUAAAAGUCUAUGAAUUUUGAUGGAUUCUCUUUUAAAAAUACAAAGAGAGAAAUCUCAACUCAUCACAGAGAUUUAUGUGAAAUUCAAAUCUUAUCUACAGCGGUGCACCUCGUUCCCCACCACCACGACCACCACUAGCAUCACCAUCUUCUCGGCUUCUGACAAUAUUAUCAAUUAAAUGGCGUUGGCAGGUGUGAAAAGAUCUUUUCGGAAGAAGAAGACAGGAAAGCCCGGAGCGCCGAAGAAGGGCAAAGACUCCGCCACCUGCAGCUUCAACGUCGUUCAGCCCCCGGCUAUUAUCUCCCAUGCUACUCUCAAUCUUCAAGAAGAGUAUGAUGAGAAAGAGGAGGUUCUGAGGCAAUUUGACAUGAACAUGACUUAUGGGCCUUGCAUAGGAAUGAAUCGACUGGAG